rnacentral:rRNA from 1 species
UACGAAGGGGGCUAGCGUUGCUCGGAAUCACUGGGCGUAAAGCGCACGUAGGCGGAUCUGUAAGUCAGGGGUGAAAUCCUGGAGCUCAACUCCAGAACUGCCUUUGAUACUGGGGAUCUCGAGUCCGGAAGAGGUGAGUGGAGCUCCGAGUGUAGAGGUGAAAUUCGUAGAUAUUCGGAAGAACACCAGUGGCGAAGGCGGCUCACUGGUCCGGUACUGACGCUGAGGUGCGAAAGCGUGGGGAGCGAACAGG